UAUGAGGAUAAUUUGGCUUGAACAUACUUUAAAUGAAUCACUUGUAUCGUUUGAUGCCCCUAUUUGUCAGUUGGAAAUUGGGAUUCAAUUUAAUUGUAAAAUGGAUCUGCAACUCUGUUCUGUUGAUGUGGUCCACAAGAGUUCUUCUACGUAUCCUCGUUACAUACUUACAUUGUAAGUAUUUAAGCUUAUAUUGGUUCUGACAACAUUCAUAUUUGUUUUAUGCAUCCAGUUGAUGGAAGAGAGAGAUCAUGUGAUGGAAAUUCCAGCUAAGCAAAAGAUGGAGCGUCAACAGACGUUAACUAGAGGGCACGGCGAGGAGCAUAAAGCUGCUCUACGGAGAGCUGUCACCUUGGCUGUUCCUCAUGCAUUUUCGCCUUCUCAUUAUGGAACUUUUGAUGGAAAAGAGGCACGGCGAGGAGCAUAAAGCUGCCCUACAGAGAGCUGUCACCUUGGCUGUUCCUCAUGCAUUUUCGCCUUCUCAUUAUGGAACUUUUGAUGGAAAAGAGAAUGAACAGUCCGAUAAAUCGGUUGGUGAUUCAUCCACAGGGUCAUCAACUAAAAGCAAGAAUAAAGAUAACUGGGAAGAACUGAU
rnacentral:lncRNA from 1 species